rfam:Micromonas sp. RCC299 chromosome 1, complete sequence.
GACACUUUGGCCGAGCUGGUCUAAGGCGCAGGCUUCAGGUGCCUGUUCGUAAGAGCGUGGGUUCGAAUCCCACAGGUGUCA